rnacentral:rRNA from 1 species
GACGAACGCUGGCGGCGCGCUUAACACAUGCAAGUCGAACGGAAAGGCCUGCUUUCCCUUGUGGAUUGCGGGUACUCGAGUGGCGAACGGGUGAGUAACACGUGAGUGAUCUGCCCCCAACUUGGGUAUAAGCCUGGGAAACUGGGUCUAAUUCCCGAUAGGACUGCAGGGUGGUGCCUGUGGUGGAAAACGAUUUUCUAGUGGUUGGGGAUGAGCUCGCGGCCUAUCAGCUUGUUGGUGGGGUAAUGGCCUACCAAGGCGGCGACGGGUAGCCGGCCUGAGAGGGUGGACGGCCACAUUGGGACUGAGAUACGGCCCAGACGCCUACGGGAGGCAGCAGUGGGGAAUAUGGCACAAUGGGCGGAAGCCUGAUGCAGCGACGCCGCGUGGGCGAUGACGGCCUUCGGGUUGUAAACUCCUUUCGACCGCGAGGAAGCCACCUGGUUGGAAGGGUGGUGACGGUAGUGGUAGAAGAAGCACCGGCUAACUACGUG